AACUUUCUCCAGUUAAGUUUGUAUCACUUUGAAAUUAAUUUAAGAGUUUACUUACCUUUUCCCGGCCAUUUUCUUCACAUUGUAAACAAGGCGUACACAAAGGGGAAACGUUGUUUGGUAGGUGUCCUGAGCGCGUUAAUUUUCUGAGCGCACAGAGCGGUCCGAGUGAGUACGGGACGGUCCUCCGGUGGUGAAUCCGAUAUGGAGUCUCCGCCUCUGCACAUUCCCAGACUCGCAGUGAGAAGAAACAUAGCCAAAGACACACUAGGGAAGCUGUAACCUCCCAGAGUUCAAAUUGUAACAUGGAUUCCAUCUGCAGUGUUUGUAAAAGUAAUCAUCUGUGCUGUAAAAGGAAGAAGAAAAUACCUGUAUUCACUGAAGUAGUUGCGCUCCUUUCCUCCUGAAAGGAAGCGGAGGUAACAUUAGUCUCAGUCUGAAAUUUUCAGAGACACUAUAAUAAAUCAUCUUUGCCUUAGAGGCUUCUUACUCA